rnacentral:lncRNA from 1 species
GGGGGACUAGUGUGUUGACACAAAGAGUUGGUUAGUUUCUUUCCUGCUGGGGAACACUAAAUUACAUCCCACCAACUUAAGCUUCCCUGGAGUGACUCACACAGUGGUUGACUUUUAAAGUUCAUUGAAGGUGAGGGUUCAGGCUAUACAAGGUCAGAGUUUCUCCAUGAAGCAGGACAAACAAAAAUUCAUAAUGCCAGGCUGUUUGACAUUCUUUCUAAAAGGAGAAGGCCACUGGUUUUUCCCUCCCCUAACUCUUUCCUGGAAAAAAAGUAUAGGAAUUAUCCCCAGUGGUGUUGGGAGACAGAAUUUCUGGCUGCUGCUACCAGCCUGUGCCAUAAUUAUUCCAAGUUUCCUGUUACCCCAAAUUACUCUCCUUGCUGCUUCCAUUAACAGCAACAAUAAAUCAUGUAACUUCAAUCAAAGGUUUGCAGGUUUGUAUCAAAAUGCUCCACCUAUUAAUAGACUGUAG